UGGAGAGUUUGAUCCUGGCUCAGGACGAACGCUGGCGGCGUGCCUAAUACAUGCAAGUCGAGCGGACAGAUGGGAGCUUGCUCCCUGAUGUCAGCGGCGGACGGGUGAGUAACACGUGGGUAACCUGCCUGUAAGACUGGGAUAACUCCGGGAAACCGGGGCUAAUACCGGAUGCUURAUUGAACCGCAUGGUUCAAUUAUAAAAGGUGGCUUYRGCUACCACUUACAGAUGGACCCGCGGCGCAUUAGCUAGUUGGUGAGGUAACGGCUCACCAAGGCRAGAUGCGUAGCCGACCUGAGAGGGUGAUCGGCCACACUGGGACUGAGACACGGCCCAGACUCCUACGGGAGGCAGCAGUAGGGAAUCUUCCGCAAUGGACGAAAGUCUGACGGAGCAACGCCGCGUGAGUGAUGAAGGUUUUCGGAUCGUAAAACUCUGUUGUUAGGGAAGAACAAGUACCGUUCGAAUAGGGCGGUACCUUGACGGUACCUAACCAGAAAGCCACGGCUAACUACGUGCCAGCAGCCGCGGUA
rnacentral:rRNA from 1 species